CCAUGGAUAUGACAAAAAAAAACUCCACUACAGAGAAGCACUUAUACAAAAAAUGAAUAACUUUGUAAUACUAAAAUAAAUAGGAGGAUAUUUUAGUAAAUGUAAAAUAAAUUUAAAUAAUAAGAAUCAUAUUAUCUCCCCUAUCCUCCAAAUUCCCUGGAUUUGGAGGGACAUAGAAAAUAUGUUUUUGAGGGAUUUUGUUCCCUCUUAUCCUCUCUCUUCUUAAAAUUUGAACCAAACACAUUUAAUUAAAAAUAUU
rnacentral:lncRNA from 1 species